GCUACCGUGUUGGGAUGAGCUUGCGUACCAUUAGCUAGUUGGUGGGGUAAUGGCCUACCAAGGCAACGAUGGUUAGCGGGUCUGAGAGGAUGAUCCGCCACACUGGAACUGGAACACGGACCAGACUCCUACGGGAGGCAGCAGUGAGGAAUAUUGCGCAAUGGGGGAAACCCUGACGCAGCGACGCCGCGUGGAUGAUGAAGUGCCUUCGGGUUGUAAAAUCCUGUCAGAAGGGAAGAACUGUAAUAACUCUAAUAUAGUUAUUAUUUGACGGUACCUUCAAAGGAAGCACCGGCUAACUCCGUGCCAGCAGCCGCGGUAAUACGGAGGGUGCAAGCGUUGUCGGAAUUACUGGGCGUAAGCGCGCGUANGCGGUU
rnacentral:rRNA from 1 species